rnacentral:tRNA from 1 species
GGUUGUGGCUUAGUGGUAGAGCGCUUGCCUAGCAUGCAUGAAGCACUGGGUUCAAUCCCCAGCACCA